rnacentral:rRNA from 1 species
UACGUAGGGAGCAAGCGUUGUUCGGAUUUACUGGGCGUAAAGGGCGCGUAGGCGGCGCGGUAAGUCACUUGUGAAAUCUCUGAGCUUAACUCAGAACGGCCAAGUGAUACUGCAGUGCUAGAGUGCAGAAAGGGCAAUCGGAAUUCUUGGUGUAGCGGUGAAAUGCGUAGAUAUCAAGAGGAACACCUGAGGCGAAGGCGGGUUGCUAGGCUGACACUGACGCUGAGGCGCGAAAGCGUGGGGAGCGAACAGG